ensembl:lncRNA
CUCAGAGUGAGUUGUCCUGGCAUUGAUGUUCCCUCUCCUGGCAUCCCAGAGGCCCCACGUGCCUCCUCUGUGCCUGGUGGACUCCCAGGUACCUUAAGGCUUUUGGCUCAGAUGCCCCUUCCCCCAGGAAGCCCUCCUGGCUUCCUCCCCCGUCCACUCCAGAUUUGUACACCCUCAUCAGGGCCUUUCCCCAGUGUUCUUAUUGCUCGUUGCUGCCCUGCAGGACCCUCGGCCUUGACUCCCCCACCUGGCCCUACUGUGCCAAAGCUCAGAGAGGUUGGGACAUUUGCCCAGUGUCACACAGCUGGGAAGUGGCAGAGCCCAGCACACGCUCAGACAGAUUGGAGCCCAGUGCUUUGCCUGCGGGCAGUGCAGCCUAGUGGCUAGGGAGGUGAAGAGGGCUAGGAGGCUGCUCCUGCCCCUGGUGUGGGGUCUUGGGCAGGUGACUUCACUUGUGACAUCGUUUUCGAGGCACCUCUGGACUCUGAGUGACCACAUCCCGGGCUCAGACAGGAGGACAAGGCUGGCCGGCCAAGGAAGGCUGCCUGCCUGUGCCUUCCCCCACCCCCCAACUUUGCUUCGUUGCCUCUGCUCUCUGCUUUAGCCUGGACCUGACCCCUGACCCCAGGGCUCAGCAAGCAGUGCUGAGUGAGGUGUCUGCACCUGUACAGUCAGGCCACUCAUGGUGGUCGUUCUUUGGCUGGCUGGCCACGCCCUGCCCGACCGACCAGGGCCUGCUUACCUACCAUCCCCUAGCACGGGACUGACCUUCCUGCAUGCUCGCCCCAGGCCCCAGGUGGUGAUUGUUCUAAUCAAAGGGGCCCCUUGCGGCCACGUGCCCACUGCUGAUUUCCCUGGUAACUAAUGAGCCCACCUGAGGUCACUUCCCCUGUAACUGGUAACCUGCCCUUUCCCGGGAGCGAAGCCUGCCACCGUGUCCUGCCUGCCGUCCACCACACACAAUGGGGCGUCUCUCCGGGACUCUGCUUCAGACGUGUGAAUGGAAAGGAGGCCUGGCCCCUAGGGACAGGAUCUGAACCUGGUGAAGGAGCCAACACCCCCAGCAUUGCAGGACAAAUUUUGGAUCAUCCGUGCUUUCUACUGAAAGACUUGCAAUCCAAAGGGGAAAUGAUGGAAGAACCUGCAGAGAAAGCUUGCUGAUCUCUGGUGGAGACAAAUACAGUUUAAGAUAGUGGCUGCAGCAGAACCAGAGCGGGGGCCCCAAGUGUGGCAAGACAGUCUCUUGUUAGUCUGGAUUAAAUAUCAGAUGGAAUCUACUGCCCGUGUUCGAGGUCUGCAUACGGGGGGAGCUUGUGAUGUUGUUCAAGGGCUGGCAGAGCGCUCUUGGCCUGUGGACCCCCAGCUUCCCACAGAACCUUGCACGCUUUCUCCCACAUGCCGGCCAGGGGCACAGACAGACCCUCCACUGCGCCUGCCUGCACCCCGCCCCUUGUCACGCUUACGGCUGCUCACCCCGUCAGGUCGCAGCCUCUGCUCCUCUGUGAGCCUUCGCGGCUCCUCCCAGGGCCCAGGUGCCCAGUUUCUAGCCUUCUAGCCAUCAGCACCAGCCACAUGUCUGCUUCCUGUUCUGCCCUGUGUCCUGUGGCCUCCUCCAUGGACGCUGUGCCCCCAUCCCACACGUGACUGUGACGCGCUGCCCGUCACAGGGGGAUCGACUGCCCACCCCUAGACUCAGCAUGUGUGACUGACGUCUCGCCCACUGGAGGAUGCAGAGGUCAUACAGGCGAGGAUCCUACCCUGCUGCUCUUGAAGUUUUUGGCAGCCACUCAACAAGGGACCCCAAACUCCAUGUCAGGGAGACCACACUAGAGGACUUGAGGCCUCACGAAGAGAGGACCCCCACCAUCUGUUUGCAGCACCACCUUCCUCCUGAGACCCUGACCACGGAGUCCCUGGGAGUUCAUGGUUUGAACUGUGUCCUCUGGAGAAAGACAUGUUGGGGUCCUAACCCCCAGGACCUCAGAAAGGGACCUUAUUCAGCGAUAGGGCUUUCACAGACACUGUCAAGCUACAGUGAGGUCAUUAGGGAGGGAUUGAAUCCAACACAACUGGUGUUCCUGGAAGAAAAGAAAAACUGGACAGAGAGACACGGGGAAAUACCAGGUGAAGAUGAAGGCAGAGGUCCAGGUGAUGCUUCUGCAAGCCAAAGUGGCCGGCAGCCACCAAAAGGGAUUGUUUCCCAGAACCCUCAGGACCAACCAGCCCCGGGACACCCUGACCUCAGACUUCUGGCUUCCAGAACGUGAGACUACACCUCUCUUUUUUGAGCCACCUGGUGUGUGCAGUCCUUGGUUUCAACAGCGCUAGCAAAGGAAUACAGGAGAUAAUAAAAUGGUUGUUGUUUUCAGUC